rnacentral:rRNA from 1 species
AUUGAACGCUGGCGGCAGGCCUAACACAUGCAAGUCGAGCGGCAGCGGAAAGUAGCUUGCUACUUUGCCGGCGAGCGGCGGACGGGUGAGUAAUGUCUGGGAAACUGCCUGAUGGAGGGGGAUAACUACUGGAAACGGUAGCUAAUACCGCAUAACGUCGCAAGACCAAAGAGGGGGACCUUCGGGCCUCUUGCCAUCAGAUGUGCCCAGAUGGGAUUAGCUAGUAGGUGGGGUAACGGCUCACCUAGGCGACGAUCCCUAGCUGGUCUGGGAGGAUGACCAGCCACACGGGAACUGAGACACGGUCCACUCCUACGGGAGGCAGCAGUGGGGAAUAUUGCACAAUGGGCGCAAGCCUGAUGCAGCCAUGCCGCGUGUAUGAAGAAGGCCUUCGGGUUGUAAAGUACUUUCAGCGGGGAGGAAGGUGUUGAGGUUAAUAACCUCAGCAAUUGACGUUACCCGCAGAAGAAGCACCGGCUAACUCCGUGCCAGCCGCCGCGGUAA